ACACCGGGGACCUGAACACAAACCGGGAAGCAAAGGCACAGAAAAUCAGGAAACCCUCUGGAGAACCAGCAGCUCCAUCCGCACAGAGAGUCUGCUGCCCACCGAUCCGCGGGUUGUCUGUGGUCAUCUGGGCGUAGGUCUGCUGCAGCGUCUUCACCAGCAGCACCACCGAUCCCAACAUGGCGGCCACACCAAACACUAGCCCACUGCUGAACCUGACACACACACACCACACCAGUAGAGGGCUUGGGGGUUGAUGCGGGCACAGUAAGCAAACAGCCAGUUAAACAUGGUGGUCUGCCAUCUCACAUGAAAAGGAGACAACAUCA